CGAAGUUCCCAAGCGCUUUCGAGUAAUUCACAUCUUCAGGGGGACGGUAGAGUGUGUGUAAUACCACUGUGGGAGUCAGUAUGAGGAGGUGUAGUGUGUUGUUCCUACUGCUGGUGGUGACGUCUGGCCCGGCAGCCGGCUACCAGGUGCUGGUGCUCACUCCAGUAGCCUCCCGCAGCAUCUAUAAUCUGUGUCGCUCACUCUCAGAGGCUCUGGGUGACGCUGGCCACUCUGUCCUCCUUUGAUGCAUCGUCCAGACACGAAAAUGUAACGGAAGUCCACACCGGCGCCGACUCGUUGGAGUUUAAUUUGUUUGUGUUGGGACCCAACGUUGCAUUGUUUCAAAAGAAAAUUCUGGAAAUUGCUGCAGAAACCGGCAGGAGGAUGUAGUCUAACGAGGCAAUACAACGACUCUGGCAACAUAGGGACAGUUACCAGGCUAUAGUAAUUAUUGGCUAUGUCAAUGAGGUGGCUGUACCAUUUCUCCUGGAUUACAAAGGUGUGCACAUCAAUUUAUGCACUCCUGGGGUAGAACUCUUGCA